rnacentral:hammerhead_ribozyme from 1 species
AAGAUGAUGAGUCCCAAACAGGACGAAAUGCGUAUCCUGGAU